CUGAGUUAGGAUUGGAGUCGGACCGAGUCAGAUUGUGUUCAAAGGCAAGCUUUCUAUAAUUCCAAGCAGUGUAACAUUCCGGAUUGAUCUCGACAAGCCUUGUGCUAAGCUCUAGAGCUUCCUCAGUAUAAAUUUUAUGGCGGUGAUUAGAAAGGACUUGAGACUGGAGAGCGCGUAGCUUCUCUGCUUUGGCCGCCGAAGCUGCUUCGUCUUCUGGUACUGGGGCUUUGCGAGGACGUCCGUGCAUUUUCUCAGCCGAUGAGCCAACACUUGGUCUUUG
rnacentral:misc_RNA from 1 species